rnacentral:rRNA from 1 species
UACGUAGGCAGCGAGCGUUGUUCGGAGUUACUGGGCGUAAAGAGUGCGUAGGCGGUUUUCUAAGUUUGGUGUGAAAUCUCCCGGCUCAACUGGGAGGGUGCGCCGAAGACUGGAAGGCUUGAGUAUGGGAGAGGUAAGCGGAAUUCCUGGUGUAGCGGUGAAAUGCGCAGAUAUCAGGAGGAACACCAAUGGCGAAGGCAGCUCGCUGGGACGGUACCGACGCUGAGACGCGAAAGCGUGGGGAGCAAACAGG